GACGAACGCUGGCGGCGUGCUUAACACAUGCAAGUCGAACGGAAAGGCCCUGCUUUUGUGGGGUGCUCGAGUGGCGAACGGGUGAGUAACACGUGAGUAGCCUGCCCUUGACUUUGGGAUAACUUCAGGAAACUGGGGCUAAUACCGGAUAGGAGCUCCUGCUGCAUGGUGGGGGUUGGAAAGUUUCGGCGGUUGGGGAUGGACUCGCGGCUUAUCAGCUUGUUGGUGGGGUAGUGGCUUACCAAGGCUUUGACGGGUAGCCGCCCUGAGAGGGUGACCCGCCACACUAGCAAAGUGAUACGUCGAAGACUCCUACGUGAGGGAGUGGUGGGGAGGAGUCCACAAUGGUGGGAAGACAGAUGCAACAACGCGGCGAGCGGGAAGACGGCCUUCGGGUUGUAAACCGCUUUCGCCUGUGACGAAGCGUAAGUGACGGUAAUGGGUAAAGAAGCACCGGCUAACUACGUG
rnacentral:rRNA from 1 species